rnacentral:rRNA from 1 species
CAGUCGCCCGGGAAAACGUAGGGUGCAAGCGUUAAUCGGAAUUACUGGGCGUAAAGCGUGCGCAGGCGGUUAUAUAAGACAGAUGUGAAAUCCCCGGGCUCAACCUGGGAACUGCAUUUGUGACUGUAUAGCUAGAGUACGGCAGAGGGGGAUGGAAUUCCGCGUGUAGCAGUGAAAUGCGUAGAUAUGCGGAGGAACACCGAUGGCGAAGGCAAUCCCCUGGGCCUGUACUGACGCUCAUGCACGAAAGCGUGGGGAGCAAACAGGAUUAGAUACCCGCGUAGUCCCUGUCUCUUAUACC